AAGUUUAAGUUAACACAAACCCAGGACCUUCAAAGUCCUAAAUAGGGACAUACCCUAACUUCUG
rnacentral:tRNA from 1 species